AUGAAUCGGUUCGCGCCAUUCUACAUUUAAAAAGUGAGGCGGCUAACUGUGAGCUGCUGCUCGUUAUAACUGACUGCUCUAUCGGUCCCGAAUUAUUUCAUAUUUGCCUGUACAUUUUUUAUUUAUUUUGAGCGAAUUUGAGUCGUGACAUGUCAAUGGAGAACAAAAACUGUGAACACAAGAAGGGUCAGGUGUUCUGCGAGGUCCUGAAAACAUCCUGGCAAAAUGAGAGUCAUCAAGGAUCCAGCUUGUUCUUGAAACAUUGAAGUUUGCCCUCUGCAAGUGAACGACGCCUUGUGGUGCCAUCCCAAAGAGGUUCAAAAUCACUCUCAAGGACCUUUUCCUGGACUGUGUCCAGCUGGUGGAAUCACCUCCCAAUCUCAAUCCGAACUGAGUCUUUACUCAUUUUCAAGAAACAUCUUAAGACUCAUCUUUUUCACCAGAACUUAACCAACUAAUGCUAGCACUUUUCCUUCUUUUCUUGUCUUUCAUAUUAAAAAAAAAAAAAAAACCUGGCUAUGCGUUC